rnacentral:rRNA from 1 species
UACGUAGGGUGCAAGCGUUAUCCGGAAUUAUUGGGCGUAAAGAGCCCGUAGGCGGUUUGUCGCGUCUGCUGUGAAAACUGGAGGCUCAACCUCCAGCCUGCAGUGGGUACGGGCAGACUAGAGUGCGGUAGGGGAGAUUGGAAUUCCUGGUGUAGCGGUGAAAUGCGCAGAUAUCAGGAGGAACACCAAUGGCGAAGGCGGCAUCCUGGACCAAUACUGACACUGAGGAGCGAAAGCCAGGGGAGCAAACGGG